rnacentral:rRNA from 1 species
GAAUUGUUCGCAAUGGGCGCAAGCCUGACGACGCAACGCCGCGUGGAGGAUGAAGAUCUUCGGGUCGUAAACUCCUUUCGAUCGGGACGAAUGGCCGGUGACCUAAUACGUCACUGGAGUGACGGUACCGAGAGAAGAAGCCCCGGCUAACUCCGUGCCAGCAGCCGCGGUAAUACAGAGGGUGCAAGCGUUAAUCGGAAUUACUGGGCGUAAAGCGCGCGUAGGUGGUUUGUUAAGUUGGAUGUGAAAGCCCCGGGCUCAACCUGGGAGCUGCAUCCAAAACUGGCAAGCUAGAGUACGGUAGAGGGUGGUGGAAUUUCCUGUGUAGCGGUGAAAUGCGUAGAUAUAGGAAGGAACACCAGUGGCGAAGGCGACCACCUGGACUGAUACUGACACUGAGGUGCGAAAGCUAGGGGAGCAAACAGG